GGAGCCGCUCCCGCGGGCAUUGGUACCCCACCGCCGGGGUUAACGGCAUUGCCGGGGGGGUUCACAGCCCCGAGCAACAGCCUUGUCCUGACUGCUGUGCGCCUCGCGGGCCGAGCUGGCCCCGAACUAAGCAAGUGCCUCGAACUUCCCCAGCUCGUGUCCGAGUGAAGCUGGAGACACCUGAAAGCGCCAAAAGAGGGGCAGGGUUGUUCCCCUCCCUCCAGUCUUUACCCAUUCUGGCACUGACCCAAAGACAUGGUCAGAGCUGUUCCAGUUAACAAAAUGCAUGUUAGACUAGUUUCGCUUCAAAGAAGAAUUCUGUGUACACUGUGGACAACACCUGGUUCCUGUAAGGCUGCAGAACUGGCCUGACAUCGGAAUCCAAAUAUCCUCUGGUGCCUUUGGUGGUCAGAAAAUGCUGCUGGAAUGUCUACCAGCAUCUCCUGGAAGCUCUGCCCGUUUCCUGAACCAGGAGUGAAAGCUCAAGCAAGAGAAGUUCUUCAAAUGACACCUCCUCGAUAUUGCUGGCUCUGAUUACUGGGCACGCAUAGCCAAACAUGACUGCUCAGCAAGCUGUGUUGGCAGGCUGCUCAAACUUCCUGUAAUGGGGGAGGGGGGGGAGACACCAUCAAGAUUUUCAAGCCCAAUGUGAACGCUGGAGCCCUGGUUUAGAAAAUCCUUAACGUAGGGUUGCCAGUCAGUCUAGAUGCUCAAACCCUGGGGUCUUGAGCCCAGGAUUUGCAGACUCUCAUUCCACUAACCCUGGGCUUACAUUGCAAUUAGACAUACCCCCUCUUUUCAGCACAAGAGGGGAGCCUGCAGGACAAUCCCAUGUCCCCUCAGAAUCUCUCCCUCCUGGGGGAGACAUGUUGCACCUCACUGUCAUCUUCCGUUGCUGUGGCCAAGGAGAGGGCAGGCUGUGCUAAUGCAGCCAUGUUCUCUAGACCAGAGGUGGGCAAACUAUGGCUCGCAGGCCACAUCUGGCCUGUGGGACCCUCCUGCCCAGCCCCUGAGCUCCUGCCCUGGGAGGCUCA